AGUGAACGCUGGCGGCGUGCCUAAUACAUGCAAGUCGAACGGAGAUUAAGUAGCUUGCUAUUUAAUCUUAGUGGCGCACGGGUGAGUAAUAUAUAGCUAACUUGCCCAUUACUAAGGGACAACAGUUGGAAACGACUGCUAAUACCUUAUACUCCGUAUCUAUAUAAGUAGAUACGGGAAAGUUUUUCGGUAAUGGAUAGGGCUAUAUCGUAUCAGCUAGUUGGUAAGGUAAUGGCUUACCAAGGCUAUGACGCGUAACUGGUCCGAGAGGAUGAUCAGUCACACUGGAACUGAGACACGGUCCAGACUCCUACGGGAGGCAGCAGUAGGGAAUAUUGCUCAAUGGGGGAAACCCUGAAGCAGCAACGCCGCGUGGAGGAUGACACUUUUCGGAGCGUAAACUCCUUUUCUUGGGAAAGAAUUAUGACGGUACCCAAGGAAUAAGCACCGGCUAACUCCGUG
rnacentral:rRNA from 1 species